rnacentral:rRNA from 1 species
ACAGGUGGUGCAGUGUUGUCGUCAGCUCGUGUCGUGAGAUGUUGGGUUAAGUCCCGCAACGAGCGCAACCCCUAUUGUUAGUUGCCAUCAUUCAGUUGGGCACUCUAGCGAGACUGCCGGUAAUAAACCGGAGGAAGUGGGGAUGACGUCAAAUCAUCAUGCCCCUUAUGACCUGGGCUACACACGUGCUACAAUGGUUGGUACAACGAGUUGCGAGUCGGUGACGGCGAGCUAAUCUCUUAAAGCCAAUCUCAGUUCGGAUUGUAGGCUGCAACUCGCCUACAUGAAGUCGGAAUCGCUAGUAAUCGCGGAUCAGCACGCCGCGGUGAAUACGUUCCCGGGCCUU